CGUAAACAAAGGGAAGCGAAGGAGCGAUCCGGAGCGAAUCCCAAAAAUAACGUCUCAGUUCGGAUUGUAGUCUGCAACUCGACUACAUGAAGCUGGAAUCGCUAGUAAUCGCGAAUCAGAAUGUCGCGGCGAAUACGUUCCCGGGUCUUGUACACACCGCCCGUCACACCAUGGGAGUCGGAAACGCCCGAAGCCAGUGACCCAACCUGAGAAGGAGGGAGCUGUCGAAGGCGGGGCCGGUAACUGGGGUGAAGUCGUAACAAGGUAAC
rnacentral:rRNA from 1 species